rnacentral:ncRNA from 1 species
ACGCUGCAUCAAGAGUCGGGCACCCGCCCGACGCCAACCUGCUCCGGGCAAGGUGGCGCCUUCCAGUCGCGAAGGGAUGUGGCCGUCAUGGCAAACCCGGCGUUCGGG